AGUAUCAGUUGGCAGUUUGCCUCGUGUUCAGGUGUCCCAUUUCUCUGAGGUGUUUUCCGUGUUUAAAACAAGUGCCAAACUUUAGUGAAAGAUAAUUUAGUGACCAAUCACAGUUCCUGGAUCAAUUUCGCUUAUUUUAUAUUCGGCCGACGGUUAUUUUUAAACCGACAGACUGGACCGUGAGCUGAUGUGGCCGCAGGGUGCUCGACGAUGCUCCUGUUUGGGGCAGAAGCAUCCAUCCUCCUAUAAGGACAACAACUCAAACGGGACUAACAAAAUGGAGAAAAAUAAAACGCUAUUUUGGAGACACCCAGCGUCUCUGUAACUCUCCUCCCCCCCCCCCCCCCCCCCAGCCCGGAAAGCAAAUAAAAGUUUCGCCGGCUCUCGCUAUAUAACUUUUACCCCCACGGAAACAAAACGAAAGUCUAUGGAAACAUUCUUAUUCCUUUUAUUUGUCUAUAUAUUUUAUUAGCAAAUAUAUAGAUUACAGCAUCGUCUAUAAAUUAAAAUGACAAAGUGUAUUACAAGAAUUCGGGGGUGCGUAAAAUAUCGGGUCAAUCUAAAUAGAUUUGGGGAGGAGGAGCGAAAGGAAUCCGCACGGUUGGGCCAUCAUCAACUCAUCAUCUCUCGUCCAUUGCCGCGCUCGUGUGUCGUCGACUGAUGACAGCGCGCAAUGACACGAAAACGGAUUACACCCAGGAAUAAGGGACGGGUGGGGAGAGAAGAAGAAGAUUCCCUCGCGUGAUUGAGCGGGCAAGUGUGGCGGAACAAGCUUAUAACACACAGCAGCAGGAGCCGACCGAUAUUAGAGCAGCAGCAGCAGCAGCAGUAGCUUGAUGGCAAAGAAGAAAAGAAACAAGGCGAAGAAGAAGAACAAUCUGCUGCUCUAAAAGUGAGCAGACAGACAGCCCCCCGCCUGGGUAGAUAUGUACAGUCGGCCAACGUUAAAUGGAUUUUGUGUCGACAGAUUAAAUAUGCCGGGCAGAUUAGUUGAUUAACAGAGUCUUAAUACUAUAACUCGUUUCCUUGAUUAUACUUUUAAAAAAGAGUGCUAUGCGCGUUCAAUUUCCAUCCGCCAUCCGGACACAUUUUCAAUCAAAUAAUUCGCGCGCUUAUAGCAAUUAGAGUUUGGAAACGUUUUGGGUGGGAUCUUGUCGGCA